GGACCUGUAGCUCAGCGGAUAGAGCGCAGCCCUCCGGAGGCUGAAGCGGGAGUUCGAUUCUUCUCAGGUCCA
rfam:Clostridiales bacterium S5-A11 contig017, whole genome shotgun sequence.